AAGCCGACUCUCUGGUCUCAGUUGGGCCACCUCUGAAGGGCUGUCCCAGCUUCUGUGGCAUGGCUGUGGACUCUUUUGUGACUAUAGCCCAGCUCACCCCCUCCUUCUGCCCCAUCCUGCCUCCCAGGGAGGUUGCCGAGUCUACUUUCCAAUGAUCCCCCUGCACACAAUCUCAUCUCUGAGACUGCUUCCUGGGAAAUCUGAUCUGCGACAACUUCCUGACGUCCUGGGAAGAGGAAUCCCUGAAAAUACAGACUAUAUCAAGAAGGAAAAAACCACCCUACUCCAACUAAUCAGAGAUAGAUAGCUACUGUUAUGAUUUUGGUGUAUUUCUGCUUUUGGAGACAGAGAGUGUGCCCAGGAUCCAGAUGGAAGACCAGGUGACUUAUUUGUGCAGUUCCAGCUUCAUCAGUGGAAGAGGGUUGUUACCAGGAAGAGGACUUAUCCAUGGAGCGUCCACGGGACAGCUGUUGGGCACUGGAAAAUACCGAGUAAGGACCAGGUGACCUGAAGGAGCUGAACCCUAGACUAGGAACCACGUGCAUCAAGAAGCCCAGGAGAGCGAGUCCUCCCCAGAAGGGCCUGUGGAGCGGAGAGCGGACGCCUUGUGUUUCUGCGCCCCCUGUCGAAUGCCUCCAGGCCACAGGGGGGCGCCUCAGCUGCUCCAACUGGCAAGGAAGAUAAAGGGUCCCCUUAAGUGCCAAGGAGAGGAUCGGGGACCUUGCACCUGAAUAAGGGAAAUGAGAUGACUCCCACACUUCAAUUCCUCCUCAGGUGAAACUCACCCAGCAUAGCUGGCGCUCUGUGGACAUAAGAUUCAUAUAUUUUUCCAAAAUAAAUCUGGACCUCUUUUAUAAGUAAACACAAUAAAAAACAGAAUAGUAGAGGCAUUAGAUGUUACCAGACAUCUGAGACGUCAUUAGAACAACUAGGCCUGGCUCUGAGCUAAGACAAAAAGGAAAAUCUGGAGUGAGAUAGUACACAGCAUCUGAAAACAUUAAGUGUGCACAUCUGUUUUUGCUGGGCCACUGCUUCCUGGUGCAAAUUCAAGGAAGAAUUUAUUAUUUAGGUUCCAGUAUAAGUGUAUGUUGGGCACCCAGUUAAAAAAAGCCUUCAAAUAGAAUCUCAAAAAAGACCAAGAAUGUGACAUGGGAUGGCAGAAUUAAGAUUACAGAGGCAGACUCAAUAUCUGGUCACCGCCUCUUAGAUUGGAAUUAACACUAUACUUUUAAAAAUAAUCACUUUUUGAAUAAAUAUUUUUCUUAUACAUGCUAUUGUAGGACAUUUGUAAGAUACAGAUUUAAAAAAGAGAAAUCUAUAACCACGUCACUCAUGGAACCAUUAUCAACAUUUUAGUGGUCAUCUUCCCAUCUAUUUGUCUAUACAGAGGCAAGUUUAUCUACAGAGAUGAGAAAUUACUACACAUAAAUAUUUUGUUAAACAUGUUUUCAUUUAAUGAUAGAGCAUAAACAUUCCUCAUUUGAUAAAUCUUUCUACAAUAUCACUCUGAAUGCUUGCAACACUGUGUUGACAUUAAUGCUACCAAAUAUAUCAGUAGGAUGUUACAAUACAUUCAGUCAAUCCCCCUCAUGCUAAGUAUUUACUUGGGUUUCUAACGUUUCACCUUUAUAAACAAUUCUGUGGUGAACAUCUUGUGCUAUUGUUCUCCAGGUAUCCCCUGUGGCUACUUAUGUUUCAAGGAGGGUAGGUCUAGUCCUUUCAAGGCCAGGGUGCCACAAAAGUCAAUGAAUUAUUUGUCCAGUGACUUGUGGACAUGAUUUGUACUUUCUGCACUUUUCCAGGCACAGAGGAGGAAAUGGUACUAGGAACCCACAGUCCUGAUUUAAAGAAGAUUUCUGGGCUGCCUAGUGAAGGCAAUAGAAAUCUUUGUAUCCCUGCAUCCUGGAGCCUCCAGAUAGGAUGCAAGCAGAGAAGACAGAGUAGGGGAUCAUCUGAGUGGGAAGACAAGAUGGACUUUAUGUUGGCCACCAUUAGAGUUCUAAUGUUCCCUGAGAGGAGUGGGCUCUAAUUCCUGUUGAUGUACUUCUCUACUUGAGGGUCUGCCUGGCGUCAGGAGCACCAUGGCCCUCAAUGCAUAGAGGUAGGAUGCAUUUGGAUGCUCUUGCUCUUACGUAGUGAGUUUGUGAUCCACGCUCUUCUCCCUGCACAGCUGUGUGGCAUUUGAAAGUAGUUCUCCCUCUCCAUGGUUCUUGGGAGGGCUUGAAAAUGAUUUGUGAUCUAGGUACCAAGACUAAAAUCCCCUCCAAAGAAUCACACAAACAUACAAUAUCCCAUUCCAUCAAGUUCUCCCGAGGCAUGGUAAUCCCUAGUUAACCUCAGACAUAUGAGAAUUUAUAAUAUGUUUGAACACUUAACAAGGAAGGAUUUUUCUGGGUAAUAUGUUACAGUAGCAUGAACAACUAUAACAUUCCCAAUGUCUAAAAACUUCACUCUAAGUACACAUAGGUAGACUUAAAUAUAUACUCAUUGCAAAUCUGAAUUUGUUGUUAUCAUAUUCCCAGCAUUAUUCUUUUUCCCUAAGUGAUUUCUAUUUUCUAGAUUGUACUCCAACCCAAAAGGACAUACUUUUGAGAAAAUAGUCCAUUAAAGACAUUGUUGGGGCAACUUUUAUUAUUCAUUAGUGCAUUUUAAAGUGGGCCUGAAUAGAAAUGCUUUUUGCUAAAGUAAAAAAUACAUCUGUUUCUAUGAUCUAAUUAUACAAUUGGUUAGAAUUUCUAUCUAUCAGUUCAAAGGGAAACGUGGUUUCAAUGAAUUUGUUUUUAAUAAAAAUGUGUUAUCUAUGAUAAAUAUAUUUUGCUUUGUUCAAAUGGAUCUGAUUGGGAAAACAUAUUGAGCAGAAGUACUGGUAGAGCUUAAUUUCAUUGCUUUGAGAAAACGUAUUGAAUGCUGGUUUGAAUUAAAUUGUAUUUGUUAUAAUAAAAGUGUAUUGGCCUGAGUGUACAUAUAUUUGUUUUAGUGGCAGU